GAAAAAGCCAGGAAGGUGUUUUUAGGAAAUUAUUUUCUUCCAGAGAGAGGAAGUCAUCGGCUGUAAGCUUCCUUAAGUUCAGAUAGUUUCUGAGUUUCGCACCGGAGCCGCGUUUCUGAAAGAUUCAGUAGGAAGCGACGUGAUGCUGCGCGUUAAGCGGCGAGAGAGCCUGUAUACACAGGAAUCAGGGUGGUACCGCGGAUAUGCUUCGUCCCUUUA
rnacentral:ncRNA from 1 species